rfam:Aeromonas sp. RT39B genome assembly, contig: Ga0136726_109
AAAAAGGCGGCUUUCGCCGCCAAACACAGAGUCUAUCGCAAUACUU